CGACAACAAUAAAAAUGGCGAAUCCUGAAAAGCCUGAGCUCGGUCUCCUCGAAGAAGACGACGAAUUUGAAGAGUUUCCAGCGGAAGACUGGACAGGAGAAGACGAGGACAAGGAGGAUGUGAAUGCCUGGGAAGACAACUGGGACGAUGACAAUGUGGAGGAUGACUUCUCAAAGCAGCUCAGGGCUGAACUGGAGAAAAAAGGCCACAAGACAGAACCAAUGAAGUCCUAGCCUUAAAAUCGUGAUGUCUUGGGAUGACCUAAUAGGCUGAGACAAUUUCAUCCUGGAUGUUGACAUUUUUAACAAGACUGAGAACAAAUUUUAAACAGAUCUCAGUCCUCCUGGUAUUCAGCAAUGGAAUUAACAUGCUUCAAGGAUGAUAUAGUGAUAGUCUUCACCAUUUCCUGACUGCUGUUACUGUGAGACUGAGAGGACUAUUAGAUAUGUCAUAUUUGUCAUUCCAUCAUCAGGGAGUUUUGACUUAUUCUGUAAGUGUAGUGGUUGCCUUUCAUUUGCAUUUCGAUUUGGGCUCAAACUUCGCUGUCACGCUACAUUAUUGAAAUGAGGUCAUAGCACCGAAGUACCAGAAUCAAACCCUCUAAAUGUUACUUUCAUGAAGUCAAUUCUUUCAUCACCAUGUGUGCGAGGAGAUCUUUUGUAUGUACAGAGGUUAAAUACUGCAAGUCUAGGCAGUGUAAAACAAUACUUGUGUUGGUUUUGAAGCCUUGUAUCACAUUACUGCAACUAUAAAUUUCCUACAUGAAGUA